rnacentral:rRNA from 1 species
AUACGGAGGAUGCGAGCGUUAUCCGGAUUUAUUGGGUUUAAAGGGUGCGUAGGUGGGUAAUUAAGUCAGCGGUGAAAGUUUGUGGCUCAACCAUAAAAUUGCCGUUGAAACUGGUCACCUUGAGUAUGUUUGCUGUAGGCGGAAUGCGUGUUGUAGCGGUGAAAUGCAUAGAUAUCACGCAGAACUCCGAUUGCGAAGGCAGCUUACAAAACCAUCACUGACACUGAAGCACGAAAGCGUGGGAAUCAAACAGGAUUAGAUACCCUGGUAGUCCACGCCGUAAACGAUGAUUACUAGGGAUUUGCGAUAUAGUGUAAGUCCUACAGCGAAAGCGUUAAGUAAUCCACCUGGGGAGUACGCCGGCAACGGUGAA